rnacentral:rRNA from 1 species
AAUAUUGCGCAAUGGGGGAAACCCUGACGCAGCAACGCCGCGUGGAGGAAGAAGGUCUUCGGAUUGUAAACUCCUGUCUUCUGGGACGAAUAAUGCCGGUACCAGAGGAGUAAGCCACGGCUAACUAAGUGCCAGCAGCCGCGGUAAUACGUAGUUGGCGAGCGUUGUCCGGAAUUACUGGGCGUAAAGGGCGCGUAGGCGGCUUUUUAAGUCAGAUGUGAAAACCCGAGGCUUAACUUCGGGACUGCAUUUGAAACUGGAGGGCUUGAGUGCAGGAGAGGUAAGUGGAAUUCCUAGUGUAGCGGUGAAAUGCGUAGAUAUUAGGAGGAACACCAGUGGCGAAGGCGACUUACUGGACUGUAACUGACGCUGAGGCGCGAAAGCGUGGGGAGCAAACAGG